rnacentral:lncRNA from 1 species
UCAUCUGGUCAGUUGAUAGCAAAUCUAACAAUUGGGUCUGUAGACGCACUUAAAUAUUCUAGUAUUAUCCUUGAUUUUUAAAUGUCAGCAUAGUUGUAGCUAAUAGUGUUAAAGCACAAGUCAGUAUGUACAAGUAGUUAUAGUAACAUGAAUAGUUAUAGUAGUAGGAAUAGUUAAAAUGCUGUGUUUGCCUGUUCAGAGUCUUUACACAAAAGGAGAAAUUAUAGGUGUGGUUUCUGCUCUAUUCAUUUAUUCAUUCAUUCAUGUGAGGGAAGACAGAAUAUAGCAUGUGGCUGGUAGACUAAAUUAUUUUUCAACAAAACAUUUACAACUUUUCUGUGGUGUUUAAAAUAUUUUCUAUGUAGAGGUGGCCUUCUGUUUUGGAGGCAUUUCCGGUUGGUUGCCUUUGAUCACUGCAUUCUGUCCUGCUCCGAAGUUCCCUGGAGAAUGCAUUCACUUUGUCUUUCAGAGUAGACUGUUAAACCAUUCUGAAAGCUUACACAUUCUGAUACUUAUUUCCAAAUAUUAGAUUAAUUUUUUAUGAGCCGUAUGACAGAUCCUUCCGCACUGACAAUCCUAGAGGAGGACACUGAACAGAGUGUUAGUCUCAUGCAUCUGCACGCCAUUUGUGAAUGUGUUGGCCAAACCUUGAGUGCAUCAGACUUUGUAGAAUAUUUGGAAAGAGUAACAUUGAUGUGCCGGUCUGCAGAUGUUUUCUCGCAGUUCUGUCUGUUACACUGGGGUGGGGCCUCCCUGGUCACCACUAAGCAGGCCAAGUCCAGAGAGGUUAAGUAAGGUGUUCAGUGUGUCUGGUACCUCAGAGAGCAGACAUCGGGGGAGCCCUCCCUCUCCCAGUCCAUGCCAUUCUCUAAUGUAUGUGGCUCCUUACACUGUUUAGAAUUGGAAUUUGAUCCGAGGGAGAUAAAUGCCGGCAGCUUGGCUGCGUUGGAAGCCUCCUUUAAAGAAGGCUCGGCACGAUGUCCGGUGUGCAGACGCAGUUGCACGUGGCAGGCGCAGCUUGACAGGCAGGGGUUGAUUCCUCAGUCCUUCUUGCUCAAGAACUUACAGUUGCCUGAAGAAAACACCUCUCAUGAAAUUGCUUGCUUCUGCACAAGAAAAUAUUGGAAGUAGCAUGGUAAUAUUUAAGAAUAUUAAAAAUAUAGUAAGUAAUUUUCAAAAAACUAUAAAACUAAGUUAGAUGUGCUUUUAAUAUUUGUUAUUGUUUACAUUAAGAAAAUAGCCUUUCUUUUGCCUUUUCUAAGUUCAGUG